AGUGGAAGGUGUCCUUGCCCGUGGCAGCAGGUGGAAUGGGAUGGGCUUUAAGGUUCUUUCCAACCCAAACCAUUCAGGGAUUCAAAAGGUGACCAGACAAACUUUUGAAACAAUAAUCUCCUUGACACAAAAAUACCUCUUCCAGUUUUUCUGGGUCAUGGAUGCCCGCGGGCACAGGGUGUACAACAGGAUUCCUGCAGAAAUUCUUUUAUACUGUCGUAUUCUUGAGACUGACACAUUCUACAUCUCUUGAAGGCCCAAACACUCCAUCAAGCAUCAAUUGAUUUUCCAUUUUCACUCUUUCUGGGGAAGGAUUUCAGUGUGGAGCCAGAGGGCUUCCCAUGUCAGAGGCUUCCUCCUCCCAGUUCCUUGUGUAUCCCAAGGCAUCCCUGGGGCUCAGAGCUGCAGUGGGACACCAGUGCCUCGAACAGCUGGAAAAGCACAAAAAGGGAGAUUGACUGGGUGAUCUGUCGUGUGUUGGAUGUGGAAGCUCUCUGUGGAAGCAUUCUUACCUCAAACCUCCUUUCAUGACCCAGAGGACCUUAGGAGGGCUGGGUGGGAGAGAUCCCUGUCCUUCCCUUCCUCUGCUCUGGGGUGGUUUCUGACAGUGAGAUUUGUCCCUCUGCGUUGGCUGGCUCAGCCCUGGGACCUGCUGGUUGUUUGGGAAUCUGGCCAGGAGUCCAAAUGAACCCGUCAGAGCUGCCUCAAGGGUGAAAAUGCAGGAAAGGAGACUGGGACAAGCUUCUAAAAUGGGCAGAAAGCUCUUGGUGCAAUGGAGCAAUUCAGGGCUGGACUGGGGGAGUGCAGGGAAAUCCCAGAGGGGCCCCAGAGCAGGCAUUGAGUGUUGGGGGCUCCAGGACAAGAUCCAGGCAGGGAUUAAGUGCAAGGUUUGGUUUUGAGUGCUGGCCCAGCUCUGAAGAUGAAUUUGUUGUUUAUGUCCUGGGGACAGCUUAGAUCCAGACAUUAAAACCCUUCUGUUGCUCGGUCUGCCUUGAUGGCACAAGUGAAAAGCUCUCUGGUGCAGGCAGGGAUUUGUGUCCCUCUGCAGAGCAGCCCAGCAAUGUGGGAGAAGGGCCAGGCUGGAGCUGAAGGAUCCCUGACUGUGUAUUCCUGGCCUGGUGAGCUGUAGGGGACCUGAGAAGGGACACUUUUGGUGGUCUCUGAUGGUUCUUUUUUCCUCUGAAAAUCCUGGCUUCUGUGUCUAGGAUCCCAGGAGCACUGGGAUCAUAGGAAAAUCCCAGCUUUAGUGAAGGACAGUCCAACCCUCAUGUGAGGCAGCCAAGUUUCAGGGCUGUGGGUUUCAUGUUGGCCAGCCCCGCUCCCAGUACCACUGUGUCCAUUCCCACCCUACCUGAGCACCUCCCAGUCUGUCCUAGAGCCCAGCCCAGGCUUUCUACAGGACUGAGGUACAGGGAAAUAAAGUUCAGAUUGCAGGAGUUCCCAAAAUCCUGCAGGGUUCUGGAGUGAGGACUUGCUUGGGGCAAGGCUGUCAGGUGUGGCUGGGUCCCUCAGGUCUGCAGAAGCACUGACCAUCCAUCCUUCAAGCUCCAGAGUUUUCUUUCAAGCUGUUCAACAGUGGAGGGAAGUGAGACAGCCCAUGAGGGAAGGAUCAGCCAUGGGCAGAGGGACAGACACGUGUGGUCAUCCAUGUCUCAUCCAACAGUGGGAUCUGAGCAGUGAAAAGCCUGGUUUGAGCAGGGGGGAAGGAAAGACUCCUUGGAGGGUGAGGGAGUUGGAGACACUAAGCAGGAGCUGCAGUCUGUGGAUGCUCUGACAAGGAGAGCAGUCCCUGGAGCCCGGCUGUGGGCGUCACCCAGGUGCUCCUGCCCGAGUCCUGCCUUCGCUUCUCCCCUCCUCGUGAUGGUCCUCCAAGACCCCACAUCACAGCACAUCCCUUGCAUCCUGCUGGAGCUGGAGGGGGAGAAAUCAAUGAUCAGAGAUGGGGGCUUGCAUCUGCUUCUUCUUUUGUGGAUCCAUAGCCCCUGCACUGGAGGAGCUUUCUGUUGGGUGCCCCCCUGCAGUGACUUCUCCAUCCCCUUUUCAGCCUGUGACUCUUGCACCCUUUUCUUUGUCAUCGCUUGGCCUCCACCUUCAGCUCUCUCUCUCUCUCUGCUGUUUCUCUGCCCUCUGUCCCCUCCCCAGCACAGAAGGGCUGGAUGGUUUGUUCAGGUUUGGGCCAUCACCAGGAAUUCCCUUCCUUGGAGCUGGCUCAGCACACCUCUGCAGGGAACCUGUGCUUAGCUACAUCUCUUCCCGUGAAAAAAAUCCCCCCUUUGCCUCCCUUUCUUUCUGGAAACAUCCACCUCACGUCACAGAUCUUCCUGGAUGAAGCAGCAGGAAGUUGUGUGAAAGCAGGUCUGGCCUGUCAGGAUCCCUGGCCAGUGUUCCCGUGGGAUAGUUCAGGAAAAGGGUCCAACCCUGCCUCUUGCCACGGGUGAAUGAGCACUUCCAUCAGCGUGAGGACAAAAUUUGUAUUUCCAGGUUUGCUUUGGAAAGGCUUUGCUGACCUUGUGUCCCUCGCUGCCGUGCUCGUUGGAUUGCGUGUGAACUCUACCCAGGGAGUGCUUUGAGGGCCCGGUUUAAGCUUGGGGAGCCUGGGGGUGCUCCAGCACCUGAAGCCAGAGCUGAGGUGUCACAGUUCUUGAUGGAUAAAUGAGCCUGAUGCUUCCAAGCACAUCCCAAAUAAAGGCAUGACCCCUCUCACUUCCCCAAGCCGUGGUCUGAGAGCGUUGGGGAGCAGGACUCAGGAGUCUGGGAGCUCAGAGAGCCCCUGAGGUGCAGGACAGGUGAGCUUGGGAGCUCAGAGAUCUCAUCUCAGGAUGAGCCGGGCACAGGUAUCCAAACCUCCCUCCUGUGCCAUCAUCUACCCAUGGGCUUCUGAGGAACUGAAGAGCCAACGUCCAUGCUCCAUCCCAAAAGACUCCUUGCAGGGAAGAUCUUUUCCUAGCUCAGACACUAAGUCCCAGGAAGGUCCCAGAGAGGGUGGCAGUGAGGUGGCAGGUUAUAGUGAGGUAGGGGGGGAAGUGUGGCAGGGAAUUCUCUUGUCCAUCAGGGCACUGGUUCCUGUGACCUGCUCAUGGGGUCCUCCCACAGGACGUGGUGUGGCAGCAUCUGCUGGAAAAUGUCCUUCCCUGGAAGAUUUGUGGAGAAGCUGCCAAUGUCACAGGGAAGGUUUGCAGGGACAGGAGGCUUUGCCGGGCUCUGACCUCGUGGUCACGGCUCUGGCAGGAGCUGGAGAAUGGGAUGGGGAAAUGGGGUCAGUCCUUCAGCACCCAACGACAAGGGUGUGGAGUCAGCACUGUGUCCUGUCCUCCCCUGCCACCAGUCCCGGGAUGCAUCAGCUGGGCUCCAGGGUGUCCCCAGCCCUGGGUUCCUGCUCUUCCCGUGUGUUGGCCGUGACCCUGUGGACAACAGAACACUUUUCAUGACAGUAUUUGUAUUUUUUUUAAUUGUGAAUGGGGAGAUCGUGUGCAGGUCCUUGUUACACAGGGAUGUGUCUUCCAUUCAGCCCAGGGCUUCCCUGGCUUUGUCAGAUGUCUUUCGAUGUUACUGAGAAAAAAAGAAUAAAUAAAUAAAUCAGAUGUAUUUAUAAAGGAAACAGAAACCUGCUGCUCCAAUGCCUUUGUAGGAGUAUUUUUAACAAAACAUUUUUUCAAAAUAAAUGUGAAUUGUAAAGUUUGAA